UAUUGAUGUCUGAUUUUAAAAUUUAGGCCAUAAUCCUGUCACCUUAGGUCGAUCGGUACCUCAGAUUAAUAACUUUAUAAUUGAGAAAUCAUUUUAUAAAUCUUGUUAGUUUUAGUUCCUAAACUUGUCUAGGUCACACCCAACAAACUUUUCUCUUGGGCUAUUAGCUCAGGCGGUUAGAGCGCACCCCUGAUAAGGGUGAGGUCCCUGGUUCAAGUCCAGGAUGGCCCAUUCGUUGUUGGGGGUAUAGCUCAGUUGGUAGAGCGCCUGCUUUGCAAGCAGGAUGUCAGCGGUUCGAGUCCGCUUACCUCCACUGAUUAACUACCUGAUAACUCAAUUUUGAGACUAUCGUUUGUUGAAUGUGAUUUAGAGUUUGUUCCUCUGAUUAGAACCUAGCUUCCUAUCAUUCCUUCAAUAUUUCGUAGGUUGAUAAGACGCUGGGCUCACUGAAAUAUUCAUUUGAAUAUUCAGUUUGAUUCAGCAGAACCUUGACAACUGCAUAGAAAAGUCUGGAAAGAAUAAAGCAUCUCAUAGAUGCAUAUAAAGCUGAUUUUUCAGAUUUACCUGAAAAAUAAUAGUUUUAUAUGUUCAAUUCUUGAGUUAGAGCAUAAUUAUCUAUAAAUCAAAGAUUCACUAAAUUUUUUAGU
rnacentral:tRNA from 1 species